rnacentral:rRNA from 1 species
UACGUAGGGGGCGAGCGUUAUCCAGAUUUACUGGGCGUAAAGCGCUCGUAGGUGGCCAACUAAGUCAGACGUGAAAUCCCUCGGCUUAACCGGGGAACUGCGUCUGAUACUGGAUGGCUUGAGUUUGGGAGAGGGACGCGGAAUUCCAGGUGUAGCGGUGAAAUGCGUAGAUAUCUGGAGGAACACCGGUGGCGAAGGCGGCGUCCUGGACCAACACUGACACUGAGGAGCGAAAGCCAGGGGAGCAAACGGG